AGUGAAGUAGCAAUUUUUUUUGUCAGUUCUGGCCCCUGGACUUCGAUUCAUUGUAUGUCCCUAAGUUUUUGUUAAUCUUUCAUUCUGGCCCUGCUUUGAUUCAUUUUAAUUUCCUUUUCUUGAUUGGUUGAUUUUUUAUGUUUUUUUUUCUUUUCUUCCUUGCUGGCACGUUACGUGAUGGAUUAGUGUGCGUCACGUGUUACUCCUCAAACAAUCCACCGCCAUAAGCAACCCCACCAACUUUCUCCACCGCCUUAUCUCCGUGUCAACGGUGCCAUUUAUCUCCCCUUCUCCCUUUGUAAAUUGAUUGAAGCUUCCAUCUUCCAUUAGAGAAUGUCCGGCGCCUUCGUUUCACUUUCAGUUUAGUAAAUUAAUUCCCCUGUCCCCUCCGUUCCACAAAUCUUCCAUUCAGUAUUGGGAUAAAGGACCAGAAACUUCACUUGCUCAACAGUUGGAGCAACGGAAGUCGUCUCCAACCUAGAUCGAUUGUCGUCGCCCCCGUCAUCUCCAUCGCGAGUUAACAGGAUCAUCACCACCACCACUCGCCCUCUCCUCUUUCAUCUGCUAAUUGCAAUUGCAAACCCGAUCAAUAGUAGGGUUUUUAGGGUGGGUGUUUGGCUUGCAAUUUUGGUUCGGCCGACUCGCUCCUAUACAAGGUAUGCAAUUCCAAAUUGUGAUUGGGCUAGGGUUUCUGCUUUGGUGUUGCAAGAUAACCCACACACAAAUGGCUUUGGUUCGUUGAAAGAGAUCUCGAAAGGCACAAUUGGCAUCUUCAACUUCAGCUUCAGCCUACGUGGGUUUCCAGCCUCGACCACUACUUCUCAGAAACAGACUUAAGUCUCCACGAACUCAAAUUAGCAUCUCAAUCAUUGUUAGUUGAUCAGAUGAUUUCCAGUAUCCAUGGCAUUAAGAAUAGAUGACAUACCAUUCCCAAGACCAAUUCAAUGAUUUUUUUCCAUGGAGUAUUAAGCUAUCUAUGGUGGGUUACAUUUGGGAAACCAGAAGCAGAGGUGCUUAAAUUCUCCAUUUGUUAAACUUUUUCGCAGCUUUCAUCUUCCUCACAAAAGCUCUGCUAAAUGGAUUGAAAGAGGUGAUGGUUUUAUUAUAUACCUGUUAACAUUUGGGUUGGUGGUUAAAAGUUGGGAAGGAGAUAGUUACUUCUUUUUCCAUGCUAUAUAAUAUGUUGUUUUUGUUUUGUACUAUGUUUUUGCUUUAUACCGUGAUGAUGUUAACAAGUGUGGUGUUAUAGUUUCAUAGGCUGAUUGUACGUUGAUUAAGGGUUCAUUUUACUCUCUUUUGAUUAGCAAGAUCAUAACAUAUACAUGCUAAUGCAUUCCAUAAUUAAUACUCAUCUUUCUAUUUAUACGAUUAGGCGAAAGCAUUUUACUGAUCCAUUAUAUGAGUAGGUGAAAGCUUUUUACUGAUCCACUCGAUGGAAGCUUUGCUCAACGGAAUCAAGUGGAUGGUUCCCAAGAACUACACAAGAUAGUUGAUGGCGAACAAGAUGGAAAAUCAUAUGUCAAAAUCAUAGUUGAAAGUGAAUUUACUGGGAAUUCUAGGAGAGUUUAUCCCAUUUAAGGGAUACUUUACAAUGAAUGAAGAUAAGGAGGAAUUACCAAUUCUGAGGCUUUCGCUAAUUACCCCUGGAAUCAAGAAUCCUUUGAUGGGAAAUGGUUUUGUAACAAAAACUAAUGCUAUUCAAUCAAAUGUAUGUUUUGAUCAAUAUUAAGAUGAUUAAUUCAUGAAGUCAAAAUAGAAAGAGAAUAUUCAAUGGGGAAUCAAUGAACUAAUGUUUCACAAAGGAAGGAGAAUGCACCAGCUCAUGGAGUUUCUGAAACAGUUGUGGGUGUUUUAGGUGGAGGACAAUUAGGACGCAUGCUUUGUUAAGCAGCUUCCCAAAUGUCAAUAAAAGUCAACAUUUUGGAUCCUAUGGUCAACUGUCCUGCAAGUUCCAUAUGCCACCAUCAUAUGGUGGGAAGCUAUGACAAUAGCACCACAGUUGAAGAAUUUGCUAAGAGGUGUGGAAUACUAACAGAUGAAAUUGAGCAUGUUGAUGCUGAUACUUUGGAGAAGCUUGAAAAACAAGGUCUGGAAUGUGUAUGGGGUUAUCAAUUUCUUGCAAGAAUUGAUGGAGAAAUCUUCCAUCAUUCAGAUCCUACAUUAGGAAAAAGAAGAUCUUCAAUAGUUGACAACUACAUAUGGAUACGAUUAUGGUGGUGGAAGUAUUGUUUUAAAGAUGUUGGGUUACAUCAACAUUAUUGAAUUAUUAAGAGUUCAUUAUUUAUUGGGAGGCUAAACACAGGAGGAAUACUAUUUGUCGAUGUUGUUGUUAGGCUGGUUGUUUUAAGGUUGAGAUGAAGAGUUGGAUAUGUACAGAAUUCGGCUUCUCGGGAAACAACUGCUAUUGUACGCUUUGAUGUUGUGCAAUACGGGUAAUGUAAUAAUCUCUUCAUUUAUUUUUAUUAGUUUUCCUUCCGGGUAGAACAAAGUUUUUUUUAAUUAUAUCGUCACAUUUGUUAGUAUAAUAUUAAUAUAUGAAAGCCGAAUUCAAUAAAAAUGAAGAAAUAGUUAUGAUUUAGGAGUAAGUAUCUUGGGUUAUUGCAAAUUGGCAGCUAUGUAUACCUUUUCAAUUUCUCAACUUCUGUUUUGCCUCUCAACAGUUUUAGGUUUGAGUGAAAACAUAGUCCAUUUUGGUGAAAAGUUUCGAGAUAUUAUGCAGACUGAAGGUUAGACUACUAACCUCUGUAAGGGCAAUUUGGUCAAUGUCAUUCGUGUUGCUUGCUCCCAGCAAAACCAUUGAGGUACACAAUUUUUUUCUUUUUUUGGUUGAUCUUCAUUUGGGUUUGGUUGAUGUUUGGAUUGAAAGUGAUUAUAUGAUAUGGAAAGGAAUAAUCAGAACAAAAAGAAAUUAGAUGGAUAAGGGUAGAAAUGUGAUUUUACUCUACCAUAUGAAUAUGAUAAUUGGUUUUGUUGCAGUUCCAGUUCCAGUUCCAGUUCGUAUUGAACUAAUUGAAAGUGAUUAUAUGCUUACUAUGCAGCUUCAUCUGACCUGGUGUUGUUUUAGAUUAUUUUGUAUUUUUGCAUGUGACAAAUAUGGCCUAGGCCUUGCUGAACUGAUAUGUAAUUUUUGUUCCAGGAUGAAGCUGGAACAGCAGCCCUGAAGACAGUUGAAGUUGAUGCAUUUUUAAUUUGACUAUGAAGCUUCAAUUCUUAUUCCAUUCUAUUGGUUGUUACUUUUUUUUCCAGUUUCCUCAGGUUUCAAAGUUCAAUGGUGAACAAUAUUAUGAUGACGGAAGUCGAUACUGGAAAUUCUUGGCCUUUAGAAGUUUCUACACCUGCAGAAGAAGCAAGGAAGCAUCCGGAAGUUUGCAAAGGAUUGGAACUUUUAUUCAUACACUUUUGUUUUCUUGAUCAUUACAAUAAUUUUUACAACAAAAAUAAGUGUGGGAAAGAUUUCAUUUCGCAUCA